rnacentral:rRNA from 1 species
GACAGAGGAUGCAAGCGUUAUCCGGAAUGAUUGGGCGUAAAGUGUCUGUAGGUAGCUUUUUAAGUCCGCCGUCAAAUCCCAGGGAUCAACCCUGGACAGGCGGUGGAAACUACCAAGCUGGAGUACGAUAGGGGCAGAGGGAAUUUUUCUGUGGAGCGCUGAAAUGCGAUGAGAUCGGAAAGAACACCAAUGGCGAAAGCACUUUGCUGGGCCGACACUGACACUGAGAGACGAAAGCUAGGGGAGCGAA